UGCCCAGCAACUCCUACCCCUACCUCCUCGUGGUACUGGCCGGGGUACGAGUAACCUUGGGGAAGAUCGGGUAACCAACCCCCGGUGGGAACUUUGGUCGUAUGCUGACAGGGAAGG
rnacentral:ribozyme from 1 species